UACAGAGGGGGCAAGCGUUGUUCGGAAUUACUGGGCGUAAAGGGCGCGUAGGCGGCCUGUUAAGUCGAACGUGAAAUCCCCGGGCUCAACCCGGGAACUGCGUCCGAUACUGGCAGGCUUGAAUCCGGGAGAGGGAUGCGGAAUUCCAGGUGUAGCGGUGAAAUGCGUAGAUAUCUGGAGGAACACCGGUGGCGAAGGCGGCAUCCUGGACCGGCACUGACACUGAGGCACGAAAGCGUGGGGAGCAAACAGG
rnacentral:rRNA from 1 species